UAUGAUUCCUUCAAUUAAUUUAAUAAAUUCACAAUUGAGAUUUUAUCGUAAUGGACCAAAACAAAGUUAACAUAAGCAACAGAUGUUAGAGACUUGGUAACAGAACCUUCCAUUUCUCUCUCUGAGGGUUUAAGGGCAGGCACUGCUAGGUCUUCACGAGCUUGGAAACAGUGAAGCCAUCAAAAAGAGUCAACAUCAAACAGUUGGUUUAGCAUCUCAUCAAUAAGCAAAUAGAACUGUUCAGCUACAGAUUCACAGAGCCAAAUCCAGAAAAUCAAGUUUGUGUGUUUGUACAGCAUAAAAAUUUGAAUGAAACAACUUGAAGUUUCCCUACAAUUGUUUCCGUUUGUCGGUAUUAUAUGUUAUCAGAAUACAGAACAAGCAUCAACCCAAUAAUUGCUUAUAAUCUUCAUGAUUCAAUCAAUCCAUGUUAUGUCUUUGCUAUGUAUUUAGUGCCGGUGCGCUCAUAUACAUCUAACAUCCCUCCCUCCUUUUGUUAAUUAAUAAAAAUUGACAAGAUAUAGAAAAGUUAAAAGAAGUAUGUAUUAAUCAGAGUUAGCCAACCAAAUGUCGGAUUUACAUUUACAGAGAGAUAAUCAGACACAAUCUUGAAUUGACGAAAGAUGUCUUUGCAAGUGACAAAUAACUCAGAACUCUUUUGAGUGGAUGACAGAUAGAGGAAAACAGGAAACACUGUUUAAAAGAAGGAGAAUAUUAUGCGGGGGUGCAUGCAUGUUUAUGUCAGUGAAAUCCUUAGGUAACUGUGCAUUAGCAAUUUCUAUAGUUUAGAUUCGCCCCAAUUAGCCACUGUUGUAAGUAGAUAUUCAUAGAGGUGAUAACAAUAUAUCAAUUCUCCCGUCCCAAAGGAAUUUCACUAGGGCAUCGGAGGAGGAGCAAGAAACCCUGAUGAAGGGAGUAUUAGUAACACCACACUUUGCUCAUCAGAAUUGAUGUAACCAAAAAUAAUAGUCAAUUCAUAAUAAGCCAAAUUAGCAACAUGUAUUGUCGAGUGCUAUUACACUACCUCCAGAAGGCUUAAAAAGGGAAAGGCUUUUCAAACUGCUUUGGAAAAGCUACUUAAGUAUAGAAGGUAAUUUAACCCAUAGAAGCAACAUGCUAAAUCUGACGCAAGGGAAUAUAAAUAACAACAGUGAAAAUAAGGAAAAAAAUUAAAAACUUUUGUCCAGUAAACAACCAGAGAAGCUUACUUUAAUCCACGAAGAAAAAACGAGUCUGAAAUAGACAUGAGAAUGCUAAUUAUGCAUAUCAAGACUUAUACAACUGGACUAUGCAAGAAAUGGGGGAAAAUAUCUAUUAGGUCCACGGAUUGACACAUAUUCAACUUCUAUGAUUAAACAUAUCAAAAUUCUCUAGGCAUUUAGCUCACUGUUUUUACCUUCAUUUCUCUCUUGCUUACUUUGCCUCUCCUUCUCGGCUGCCUGGACUCGAACAACAGUAAACAUAAGAAUAGCAUAAGCUAUUUGUAAUAGGAAAAAUGCUCAGAGUAAAUUUUAAUUGUACUUCAAAACAGGAAGAUACGAAAAUCCUUCUCAGAAUUUAACAGUAC
rnacentral:lncRNA from 1 species